rnacentral:rRNA from 1 species
UAUGGGCCAGUGUUGAACUUACUUGGAUAACUGUGGUAAUUCCAGAGCUAAUACAUGCAACUCUUAUCCUGAUGUGUGGACCGUGUGCUUCUGUGCACGAUCUCUGCUGACGGAUGCUUUUAUUAGACCAAACCGCUGGGUGCGUGGUGUUUCACCGUCGUACGGUGUUCCCACCACGUUUGACUCGUGUGAUGGUGACUCUGAAUAACAUUUCUCUUGACAAGCGCAAGUAUACCCCUCUUAUGAGUUGGGACGGCGCUACCACUUUCGAGUGUCUGACUUAUCAGCUAUCAACCGUUCGUUAUGUGCGACCGAUGGCGUUGACGGGUAACGGGGAAUCAGAGUUCGAUUCCGGAGAGGCAGCCUGAGAGACGGCUACCACGUCCAAGGACGGCAGCAGGCACGCAAAUUACCCAAUCCCAGCACCUGGGGGAGGUAGUGACGAAAUCUAACGAUGCGGGCGCCCUUUCUGGGGCCCCGCAAUCGGAAUGGCCACUUUCUAAACAACCUGUUGAGAACCUACUGAAGGGCAAGUCUGGUGCCAGCAGCCGCGGUAAUUCCAGCUUCAGCAGCAUCUAUUAAAGUUGCUGCGGUUAAAAGGCUCGCAGUUGAAUGUCAGUACCGAGCGCAGGUCAGGUGGACGCUGGGGCGUGGGAACACAAGGCGUUGCGUUUCUUUCUCGUGCUCUCUUGCGUGUGUUGUUGCUGUUGUUGUUGUUGUGUGCGGUGUGGUUGUGCUUUCUUGCGUGAUCUCUCGUCAUGAUGAUGAUGAUGGUGGUGAUGCUCGUGGGUUUGUGUGGGGUUGCGUUAUCGUCUCUCACAAGCCCCCGUCCGUGACAAGCCUCCUCGUUUGUGUACAUAUCUGGAAUCGGCAAAUACAAUAUGGAGUGUGCAAGUGCAGGCUCAGGCUCAUCUUUUCCUCUGGCUUUCUUGCGCCGUGCCUCUGUGUGUGUGUGUUUGCUCUGCGUGUGCUAUGUGUGCUCGUCACUCCUCUACCACCAUCACUCCCACACACAUGUACAAUGUGAGCUACGCUAUGUUAAGCUCUGGGUUUGGGUCUCGUACGGGCACGUCAAAAGCUCCUUCGGUUUUAAAGUCACCUUGAGUAAAUCAGAGUGCUCAAAGCAGUCGUGAGGGCCUUGUGCCCUGUGAACAGUCUUGACGGACUGACUUGAUUUUGCAUGGCAUGUCGGAAGACGACGUCGUGUGCUGGCUCAGAGAUGUAAUCAGUGGUGCAAGCCAGCCUCGACGUACUGAUUAACAGGUUCGGUCGAGGGCAUUGGUAUUGCGAGGCGAGAGGUGAAAUUCUAUGACCCCCGCAAGACCUCCUGAAGCGAAAGCGUCUGCCAAGGACGUUCUCACUAAUCAUGAACGAAAGUUAGAGGAUCGAAGGCGAUCAGAUACCGCCCUAGUUCUAACCGUAAACGAUGCCAACCAUCAAUCCGCGCGUAGCACCCUUCUUAACGGGCUCGGCGGGCAGCUCCCCACCUUCGGGAAACCAGAGUCUCUGGGUUCCGGGGGGAGUCUGGUUGCAAAGCUGAAACUUAAAGGAAUUGACGGAAAGGCACCACCAGGCGUGGAGCCUGCGGCUUAAUUUGACUCAACACGGGCCAUCUCACCAGGCCAGCACUCUUGUACGAUUGACAGAUUGAGAGCUCUUUCUCGAUUCAGUGGAUGGUGGUGCAUGGCCGUUCUUAGUUGGUGGAGUGAUCUGUCUGGUUAAUUCCGAUAACGAACGAGACUCUCCCCUGCUAACUAGUCGGUUGGAUCUUGUUCGGUGAGUCGUGUGCCGGGAAAACCCGCGGGGUAGCGGCAGGUGUUGUCGGUGGUGGUGGUUCUGAGGGUUGGUGGAUGGCAUGCACUGUGGUUCCGGUGGGUGUGUGCUCGUGCAUGCGUUAACGCGUGUGUGCGGGUGUGCUCUCGCUCCCCUGUGUCUAAUGUGCCUCUCCUUCUCUUUGGGGCUGCUGCUGUCUCUUCCCUGUUUAGUUUCUCUCUUGCGGGCCUCGGGCCACACACUCCAAGUCCGCCGCUUAUGCUAUAACUCUUCUUAGAGGGAUUCACGGUACUGAAGCCGUAAGAGACUGAGAGCAAUAACAGGUCUGUGAUGCCCUUAGAUGCUCUGGGCCGCACGCGCGCUACAAUGCCGGGCACAGCAGGUAGUUCUCCUGCUCCGACAGGAGUGGGUAACCCUUUGAAAGCCCUUUGGUAUUUGUCGUGUCUUGCUCGCGCAUUUCAUCUCGUGUGUGUGUGUGAUGUGAGACACGAACGGCGUGAUGGGGCCUGGGACUUGCAAUUUUUUCCCACAAACGAGGAAUGCCUAGUAGCGGCGGGUCACUGAGCCCACCGUGACUCAGUCCCUGCCCUUUGUACACACCGCCCGUCGCUACUACCGAUUGGGUGUACCA